UAGCAGCGCUACCAUUUUCGCAAACGGAAUAAUUUAGAACUAAAACAGCGACAAUUUUAUAGGGAGAUUUUUCUUUUAUUUUCUUUUUGGAGUUUCCUCCAUCAGAAUCGAUUUUACAUAUAUAUAUGCCCUGGUAUGAGAAGGGCAUAAAAUUCGAUGAACGAAUGAUAGCGUUAUGUUUUUGAGCGCAAUCUAUUCUGCGCACCUUUCACCGUGCCCUGCCACCAACAGCGUACACAAGCGUACGGGCGCGCACGCCGCAUCCUGCUGCUCCCUGGUUGCGCACGUUUUACUGUUCAGGCGUAGUAUUGAGACGUACAUAGUGUAUGAUGCGGGGCAACAUACACCUGUUUAGACAUAAAGAUUAAACUCCAUUCGUGCGUCGGAGCUGACACACAUUUUGUUUGUUCAUUGCGCUAUUGUACACAAUAGAUCAACCGCAUGGGCUCGGUGAACUAUACUUCCUGUGGCAGAAGGGGGAGUCCCAUUCUCUGUUGGCCACAACUGGUACAGAUGCCACUGUGGCCAUCCAUGAUCGCUCUGGACAACUACUGGAAAGAAUAAAGCUACCAGGUCUCUGCUCUGGCAUGGAAUGGGACAACGAUGGGGAUUACUUAGCAAUAAUAACACCUAAUAGUAACUCAGUGCUCCUAUGGGAAUGCCAUGCCAACAAACGGGUGAACAUAGAAACAGGGCUGCGUGAACCUCCGUCAUGUUUGGCAUGGUCAUAUGGAGAGCCUUUAUUGGCUGUUGGUACACAGAAAGGAAAUUUAGCACUUUAUAAUCAUCACACUACCAAAAGGAUUCCCAUAUUAGGCAAACACACAAAGAAGAUCACUUGCGCCGCGUGGAACAGAGACAGCAUAUUGAUACUGGCGUCUGAUGAUAAGAACCUGUCCAUCAACAACUCUGAUGGAGAUACCCUGCGGAUGAUCACCUUGCGUGACGUCCCCAACGAUCUACAGUUCUCUGAAAUGAAAACUGAUGAGAGAGUUGCUGGUGAGAAUACUAUAAGCCUCGUAGUGGCGAAACGGACUCUGUACCUAUACAACCUCCUCAACCCGGAGAACCCCAUAGAGCUCGCGUUCCAGCAGCGGUACGGUACGAUAGUGUCCUACAAAUGGUAUGGGGACGGGUACAUUCUCAUCGGCUUCAGUGCUGGAUACAUCAUAUCCAUAUCUACUCAUAUAAAGGAGGUUGGCGAAGAACUGUUUCAAGUUAAGAAUCACAAGGACAAUUUGACAGAUAUCGCAGUUUUUAACGGACAAGCAGCCUCCUGUGGCGAUGGACAACUGAAGCUGAUAUCGGUGUGGAACGCGGGCCAGGUGAGCGGCUCGGUGUCGCCGGCGGGCGGCGCCGAGCGCUGUGCCUGGAGCGCGGACGGGCGCCUGCUGGCGGCGGCGGGGCGCGGCACGCUCAGCGCGUACGUCACGCGUCUGCCGCCGCUGUGCGCCGCGCACGGCACGCGCGCCGUCGCGCUGUCCAGCCUGGCCGAGCUCACGCUGUACCAGUGCAUCGCCGUGCCCGACCAGCCGCAGCACGUCAGCACGUCGGAGCCAACGGCGUUGGCGACGUACAACCUGCCGACGGAGCCCAGCGUGGUAGCGUUGGGCGCGUCGCACGUGUGCGCCGUGAGCGGGCAGGCGGGCGCGUUCUACCCGCUGGGCGGCGGGCCCGCGCUGCGCCGGCACUACCCCGCGCCCGUGGACGCGCUGCGCGUGUCGGGGGACUACGCCGCCGUGCUGUACCAGGGCCGGGCUAUGCUGCAUUCCAUCGAAACCCCUGAUCCAGCAGAACCGGAACGCGAGGCGAUGUUGUUCCCCGAGCCGCACAUGCAGGGAGCGAAGAUAGUCGACAUCCACCUCACCAGCGACUUCUUUAUAUUCGUCACUGAACAAGGGCACAUCGAGUACUUCGGGCUGGAGGAGUGGCGCAGCUGCUCGCGCUACCGGCACGCGUGCGGCGUGCGCGCGCUGCACUGCGACAUCAGCGGCGCGCGCGCGCUGCUGCUGGACGAGCGGCGGCGCGCGCACGUGUACGCCGCGCCCGCCGCCGAGCUGUGCGCGCUGCCCGACCAGCGAGACGUGAAGAGCGCGAUAUGGGACAUUUGCCUGUCGGACCGGAACGUGUUCUGCGUGUACACGGGCGAGGCGCUCCACACGUACUACUACGCGCCCACGUCCGCGGCCGGCGCGCACGUCGACUACGUGGCGACCACCAGCGUGCUGCCCGACCACAUACCGCUCAUACUGUUCUCUGGUGACGUGUACUGCGCUGCCAGUGGCGGCAGUGUAAUCAAGAUAGCUCUCGAUUCGCACAACACGGGAGGUCUGGCAGACGCCGAUACGGAGAAGCGUCUGGCCAACCAGCGGCAGCACAUCGAGAAGCUGCUUCUGCUGCGGCGCUUCCCCGAAGCGUGGCUGUUCUGUGAUGCCGUCGACGAGCCCGACAUGUGGAGGAAGCUCGGCGAGGCGGCCAUCUCGGAACUUAAUGUGGAGUUUGCAAUUCGAGUAUACACGAGAUUGAGCGACGUCGCCAUGGUGUGGGCUCUGGAAGACGCCUCGCAUAUCGAAGAGUUGCCUGUACUGAGCGGCAUGCUGUGCGCCUGCCUGGGCAAGGGCGAGGCGGCGGCGCGCUGGCUGGAGAGCGGCGCCAGCAUGCAGGCGCUGGAGCUGCACGCGGCGCGCGGCGACUGGGCGCGCGCCGCCGCCGUCGCCGCCAGCGCGUGCCCGGCGCGCGCGCCCGCCAUCACGCUGCACCGCGCCUCGCACCUGGAGCUCACAGCCGAUUAUCACGAAGCGCUGGCUAAUUACGAGAAAAGUAUAAUAACAGAAAACGUUGAAGAUCCAAAAGUUAAAGAGCACAACGCUAAAUGCGAAGCUGGCAUCGCACGCAUGUCCAUCAGAUGCGGUGACGUCAUGCGAGGGGUCACCACCGCCAUGAAGUACUCCCAAGAUGUGAACCUCUUAAAGGAUUGUGCACAAUUAUUGGAAGAGGAAAAACAGUACAGCCACGCAGCGGCGCUGUACGAUCACGCUGGAAACACAGAAAAGGCUGCAUCUUUAUACAUAAAACUGAAGUCAUGGUUAAAAGUAGAAGCCUUAAUACCGAAAAUAAACUCCCCGAGUAUCCAUCUCCAGUACGCAAAAGCUAAAGAGGCAGAAGGCAGAUACAGCGAUGCCCUAAAAUCAUACUUAAAGGCCCAAGAUUUCGAAUCGGCUAUUCGAUUGAAUUUAGAUAAAUUAGACGAUAUCGAUGAGGCAGUCACUUUGGUGCAAGAAACUAAGUCCGUUCUGGGCGCGAAAAUGGUCGCAAAUUACUUCCAGAACAGCGAUGAUCCCACUUCUGCGAUAAAAUUUUUGGUAAUGUCUCUGUGUUACGACGAGGCGUUCCAACUUGCGAGGAAAAACGGCAAAUUGUAUCUGUACGGGGAGAUUUUGAUACAGACUUCCCAAGCUAGGCCGGAGGACUUUAAAAGUUUAGCGUUGCACUUUGAAGGGGAGAACAAUUAUUUACUGGCCGGCAAGUUUUACUUUCACGCGGGGGAGUACAAUAAGGCCAUGACGUAUUUGCUGAAGGCGGGCAGUUCUGAAGCAGAGGAGAGUGAGGCGAUCACUAUAGCAAUAGAUGCGGCGGCGGCAAGUGAUGAUGAACGACUAACUAGAAGAUUGAUAGAAUUCCUCUUGGGGGAGACGGACGGCAAUCCGCGUGAUCCACGCCAUUUGUUUCGACUGUACAUGGCCAAGAAACAGUUCAUGGAAGCGGCCAAAACAGCGGUGAUAAUAGCGGGCGCGGAGUGCGCGGCAGGGCGUUACCGCGAGGCACGCGACGUGGCGCGCGGUCUGUGCGCGGCGCUGCGUGCGCGCGGCGUGCCCGUGCCGCGGGACCUGAUGCGUGCCGCCGUGCUGCUGCACUCCUACAUACUGGUGCGUACCCACGUGCGGCGCGGGCGGCACGACCUCGCCGCGCGCCUGCUCCUGCGCGCCGCCGCUGAGGUCGCCUUCUUCCCCACGCAACAACAUCAAGUGUCGAUCCUGACGUCGGCGGUGAUCGAGUGCGGGCGCGCAGGGCUUCGCCACCAGGCGCUCCAGUGGGCGCGCGCGCUCAUGACGCCGGAGUACCGGGAACAGAUCGAUCCUAAAUACGUGAAGAAGAUCGAGUCCGUGGUGCGCCACCCGCCGCGCGACGCCGCGCCGCCCGAGCGCACGGCGCCGUGCCCGCAGUGCGGCGCCGAGCUGCCCGUGGCCGAGCUCCAGUGCGCGCGCUGCGAGGCCGAGGUGCCCUUCUGCCUCGCCACGGUAACGUCUGCCAGUACUACACAUACAGCUGUUCCCACUGUCGCGCGCCGCCCGAGCGCACGGCGCCGUGCCCGCAGUGCGGCGCCGAGCUGCCCGUGGCCGAGCUCCAGUGCGCGCGCUGCGAGGCCGAGGUGCCCUUCUGCCUCGCCACGGUAACGUCUGCCAGCACUACACAUACAGCUGUUCCCACUGUCGCGCGCCGCCCAAGCGCACGGCGCCGUGCCCGCAGUGCGGCGCCGAGCUGCCCGUGGCCGAGCUCCAGUGCGCGCGCUGCGAGGCCGAGGUGCCCUUCUGCCUCGCCACGGGUCUGCACAUAGUGAAGGACGACUUGACCGCGUGCCCUGAAUGUGAUUUUCCCGCCAUUUUGUCCGAAUUCAAAGAAAUGCUACGCGAGGAAGGGAAAUGUCCGAUGUGUGGCGAAAACGUGGAUUACAGGAGACUUGUUAAAAUAGAUGAUGUGAGUUUAUAUUUGGACUUUAGACCAAGUGAAUAAGGUUCAUAUUGGAAUGGAUCAUCGAAAAUUUGUUAGAAUUUAUGAUGCGGCUUUAGAUUUACACUUUAUGCCUAGUUGAUAAGGUUCAUAUUGAAAUAAAUUUAAGUGUAACCAAUGUGAUUACAAUCCGUCCUUUUAGAUAAGUGUAAUAGUUAAUAUUGCCUUUAUUUAAGUCUUUAUGGAAGUUACUCAAAGCUUAGCUCAGACCAAUUACCCCUUAUUAGACCUGCCUUGCUAGAGGUUGCUUCUCUGACAAAGCUAUAUGAUCAUGAUCUAAAUGCGUCUGUAGAAUUUGUGUUUGAUUGUGUUAAAAUUACACGUGUUUGUGUAUUAAGAUUUAAAAUUUAUAGUUGUGUAUGCUGUAAGGAGACAGCAUAUAUUUAUUGGUGUUAAAUAGUUUUGAUGUGUGAGUUUACCACGUCCCCCUUAAAAAUAUUCAGACAAUUUAUUUGGUGAAUUUGGGUACGAUUCAAGUCCAAUAGAAAGGUAAUUGGUCUGAGUUUUGGAUAAACAUGAAAUGUUCUUCAAAUGGUUGAUGAAAUAUUUUAUUUAAUAAAUAUUGGUUUUUAAAAUUA